rnacentral:rRNA from 1 species
GAUGAACGCUGGCGGCGUGCCUAAUACAUGCAAGUCGAGCGAACAGACGAGGAGCUUGCACCUCUGACGUUAGCGGCGGACGGGUGAGUAACACGUGGAUAACCUACCUAUAAGACUGGGUUAACUUCGGGAAACCGGAGCUAAUACCGGAUAAUAUAUUGAACCGCAUGGUUCAAUAGUGAAAGACGGUUUUGCUGUCACUUAUAGAUGGAUCCGCGCCGCAUUAGCUAGUUGGUAAGGUAACGGCUUACCAAGGCAACGAUGCGUAGCCGACCUGAGAGGGUGAUCGGCCACACUGGAACUGAGACACGGUCCAGACUCCUACGGGAGGCAGCAGUAGGGAAUCUUCCGCAAUGGGCGAAAGCUUGACGGAGCAACGCCGCGUGAGUGAUGAAGGUCUUCGGAUCGUAAAACUCUGUUAUUAGGGAAGAACAAAUGUGUAAGUAACUAUGCACGUCUUGACGGUACCUAAUCAGAAAGCCACGGCUAACUACGUG